rnacentral:rRNA from 1 species
CCUACGGGAGGCAGCAGUGGGGAAUAUUGGACAAUGGGCGAAAGCCUGAUCCAGCCAUGCCGCGUGUGUGAAGAAGGUCUUCGGAUUGUAAAGCACUUUAAGUUGGGAGGAAGGGUUGUAGAUUAAUACUCUGCAAUUUUGACGUUACCGACAGAAUAAGCACCGGCUAACUCUGUGCCAGCAGCCGCGGUAAUACAGAGGGUGCAAGCGUUAAUCGGAAUUACUGGGCGUAAAGCGCGCGCAGGUGGUUUGUUAAGUUGGAUGUGAAAUCCCCGGGCUCAACCUGGGAACUGCAUCCAAAACUGGCAAGCUAGAGUAUGGUAGAGGGUGGUGGAAUUUCCUGUGUAGCGGUGAAAUGCGUAGAUAUAGGAAGGAACACCAGUGGCGAAGGCGACCACCUGGACUGAUACUGACACUGAGGUGCGAAAGCGUGGGGAGCAAACAGGAUUAGAUACCCGUGGUAGUCCGACGACCGUAACCGACUAGUCACUAGCGUUGGGUAGGCCGUGUAGCUCUUAGUGGUCGCGAGCGUACGACGAUUAAGUUAGACCGUCCGUCGGGGUAGGUUACGGCCGGUCGAAGGUUAAACGUUAAACGGUUAAGUUAGUUACGGCGUUGAGACGUUGCCGACGGACGACGACGAGGGAGGAGG